rnacentral:rRNA from 1 species
CAAUAGCGUAUAUUAAAGCUGUUGCGGUUAAAAAGCUCGUAGUUGGAUUUCUGUCAAGGACAAAUGGUCCCCUCCGGGUGAGCACAUAGUUUGGUCUUGACAUCUUGCUGGAAGCUGUUGCUGCACUUGGCUGUGUGGCGCAGUGUUCAGCACUUUCACUUUGAGGAAAUUGGAGUGUUUCAAGCAGGCACAUGCCUUUGGACACAGUAGCAUGGAAUAAUUAGAUUGGGCUUUUGCUCCAAUUUGUCGGUUUCUGGAGCUGAGGUGAGUAUUAAUGGGGAUUGUUGGGGGCAUCCGAAUUUAGCCGUCAGAGGUGAAAUUCUUGGAUCUGCUAAAGACGGACAACUGCGAAAGCGUUUGCCCAGGAUGUUUUCAUUGA